CGCGACCCCAGGUCAG
rnacentral:rRNA from 88 species